rnacentral:rRNA from 1 species
UACGGAGGGUGCGAGCGUUAAUCGGAAUAACUGGGCGUAAAGGGCACGCAGGCGGGUAUUUAAGUGGGAUGUGAAAUCCCCGGGCUUAACCUGGGAAUAGCAUUUCAGACUGGGAGUCUAGAGUACUUUAGGGAGGGGUAGAAUUCCACGUGUAGCGGUGAAAUGCGUAGAGAUGUGGAGGAAUAUCGAAGGCGAAGGCAGCCCCUUGGAACUGUACUGACGUUCAUGUGCGAAAGCGUGGGGAGCAAACAGG